UUUUGACUCACUGACUGUAAUAGUGACUAAAAGGAACAUGUGGGAGUCAUCAAAAAUCUGCAGGUGGAUCUGACUGUAAGAAAGAGAAACACUUAAUUGGGUACUUACUAAAUGUUUGUCAAAUGGAUUUGAAUAUUUUGUGAAUUUUAUAUUCACAUAAAGGAUUCAGAAGAAAGCGCAACUGAGAAAUGUCCAAAUAUGGUGAAGACACUUCUUCUAGAGUGAAAGACAUAAAGAAAAUAGGCUAACUCCUCUGGGGAGAGGAGGAAAAACAUAAUUUAUAUCUCUAUGUAUAAUGAACUAAAACUUUAUUGCCAAAACUUUAAAAAUGUUUGUUUAGAUGGAACUCAGCAUCUAAACUUUUCUAAAAACCCAUGAUACGUGAGAGAAACAAAAUCAGUCCUAAAAUUACGGUCUGUAAGCAAGGAGACUUUUUUUCUAGAAUACUAUGAAACAAUUUUUUUAAUGGAUCAUCUGUUCUCAUGAUAUUUCUAUUACUCCUUCCAGAAUGGGUUUACAUAUUAAAUAACAAAGCAGAAGCUACCAUUUCCAGGGAAGAGAAUGCAUCAAAUUAUUUAUGAUUUUAUCAAUCCUGAUUAACUGCACAGCCACAAAAUCAACACCAUCCUUGUCACUCCUACAGGCGCUUGAUGCCUGAGUUCUACAUUUCCUGUUUUAUUCCUGUGCACUCAGCACAUCCAUCCACUUUAGUGAAUUGAUUUCAUUGAAUACUGUUAUGGGUUGAAUUGUGUACCCCUAAAAUUCUAAUCCCCAGUACCUGAGAAUAUGCUUGUAUUUGGAGACAGGGCCCUUAAAGAUAUAAUUCAGUUAAAAUGAGGCCAUUAGGAUGGCCAGUCUGACUAGUUUCCUCAUAAAAAGAAAGCAGUCUGACUGGUCCUCCUUAUCAGAAGAAAUUUGGACCCAUAAAGAGACAGCAGGGGUGCAUGUUCAUAGAGGAAUGAGCAUGUGAAGAGGCAGCAAGAGGGAGGCCAUCUGCAAGCCACGGAGAGAGGCCUGGAAUAGCUUCUUCACUUAUGGCUCUCAGAGAAAACAAACCCUGCAAGCAACUUGAUCUUGACUUCUAACCUCUAAAACUGCAAAACAAAACAAAACAAAACAAAAAAAAGUUUUUUUCUCUUCUCUGGUUUAAGCUACUCAAUCUGUGGCAUUUUGUUACGGCACCCCUAGCAAACCAGUACUCUACAUUUAUCCUUACAGGCAUAAGAUUAUAACUGGGCAUUUAUAUAUCUAUUAAAGUAAGUUUCUUCGUAGCUUUAAAAAUAGCUAGUUGUGUGUCUACAGCCAGACAAGAACUUCUUAAUAACGGUCACUGACUCUGCACCACCCCCAAUGGAUGAAUUAAACAGAACAACUGUCAAAAUAGUUGUGUACUCAUAGUUUUGAAUGCAGAUUUGCCUCACUAUGUUUACUCUCAGUGAGUGGAAAGCUCACAUGUGGUACAAGGUGUGCAGACCUUAGAUCCUGAGACAAGCCACAGGCAAACAUUUUCACAGCUAUUUUAUAAUCCCCGAUCAAAAUGAGAUACAUUCUUGAAAUGCUGAAUUUUUCAGAUAUGUUCCUACCACAAUUCUGCCUGCAUUCCAGUCAAUUUUAUUAACAUCUGACAGAUUUUUAGGUUCUCAGGUGAAACAAAUGCAAGCCCUAUCUGGCCCUUGACAAGCAAGCACAAAUUAAGGCACACAGUCCCAUGGAAGUCCCUGGCAUGAAGACCCAAAUAAAAAAACUGUAAAUGCAAACUAGGAAUGGAAAACACAUGCAGUAAGACAUGUUCUCAAAAUAAAAGACAGUCACUUGAAUUUCUGUAGAUUGUUCAAUGUGAUGUACCUAUUGAUCCAUACUGUAUUAUCAAUUUGAUAGAUGUGUUAUGAAUUUGAUAACAGAAUAUUUUCUCAAAAAGGGGCCUUUUGCUCACAAGUACACUAAGUAGGCAGCCAUGUGCCUGCAGUCUUCAGAAAUGCUCAGUUAAGGGACCUUGGGUCUUUCAGAAGGAAGAAUCAGCUUCCUGUGCUGAUACUAUCUAGAGACAGUAUCCUGUCAGAGAGGCCAGAUUGCCUGGACAUCCAAGUGAACACUGCUACACAUUUUUCAUUCUGGUGCUGGAAACGACGUCACCAUUCACCAUGGGUAGGGCUUCAACAUUUCUGAUGCCUGUUAUUUCUCUGCAGAAUAAGCCUUUUCAUCCUUGCUUCUCCUAGAAUGUGCAAAUGAAUAGAAAACAAUUUGGCAUAUAUGCACCUUUUGGGUGAAAAAUCUUGUACUGUGCUCUCAUUUUACAGCUGGAAGUAAAUAGGCACAGAAAAGCUACAAUUCUAGUCCUGGUUCUUACCCCAUUUUUGGUUGGGUCCAAUGUUAAAACUCGUAUGUCCAACAUUUUAAAGAAAGAUUCUUGCCUAUGUGCAUGUGUACAAUUAUUUAAUAUUCUCUGAAGAAAGACUGUUCAGGGAGGGGAAGAGCUGAUUCAGGGAUUGUGGGCAUGUUACCUAAUUUCUUUAGAUUAACUGAUCUCAUUUAGAAGCUAGGCAUGGACAUGAUUAUUUUGGUAUUUGCUACUGUCCUAACAGAAAGAAUGCUGUGAAAUUGAAAAUGGUAUGUUUCAUAAUUCACUGAGGUUCUCCCAUGUGCAAAAAAUACAACAUGCUGCUAUUUGAGCUUUGAGAGGCAGAGUAUAUCAUUAUGUCUCUUUGCUUCUCACCUCUUUAGAGGUCACGUUCAUAUGACUUGCUGUGUGCCUAAGAAAACCUGUGGAAUUUUACGCUGAAGGAGUACUGAACAUAAAUUCCCCAUGAGAUGCAGAUUUUAAUGCUGUGUAACCUUAUUUUCAUUCUGGCUUCACAUUUAGGCAGUUAAUUUUCCAUAUAAAGCAGAAAUACUGCCUUCUUUCCCUUCUCAGUCAAGAAUAAAAUUCUGCAACUUGCCGCAGUCACUCUCAUUUUCUUAAAUAGGGCCCUAAAGUAUUUUAGGAUUAUCUUUAUUAGUUGGAGACUAUAUCCACUCUUAAAAGAAUUAUAAUGAAAAGAAAACUUCUAUUAAAAUAUUUUAACUAGUUUCAAUUGACCACAUUACUGGCAAUGGAAAAAUCUCUAAUGGCUAAACCUUUUAAAUCUAAUCUGCUUUAACAUAUUUUAAAACUGACGUGCCAUUUAAGAUUUAGGUGUUAGCAUGCAAAGUGUUUUCUUUCUCUGUUUUCACAUCCAUUUUUUAUUUCAUUUUCUUUGACCUUUUGAAAAUGAAAUAACCCAAUGAUAUCCUCUAGAGUGGCAUGAAUGAUCUAAAAAUGAAUUACUGUAUUCAAACGAUCAUACUAAAAUGUGCAAAAGAAUAAAGAGAAAAAUAUGUAUAUUUGUGUGAAUAGUGAUUUAAUAAUGCUUAGAUGGAAUGGCUUCUGUCUAUUUCAGGAGCAUAAAGUUCUGCUUAGAUAGGAUAUCCACAUAGUUAUGUUGAGUUGCAAUGACAAGG
rnacentral:lncRNA from 10 species